CAAAAAAUGUUGAAGAGGACGAGUAGCAUGCUUAAGCAUUGAAAGAGAGUGAGGUUAGGUGAAAGCUCACAUUGUGAUGCAUGACGAAAAUCACCUCAGAGUUGCAGGCUGAAAAUUUUAUUAAGCCUUGCCGGUUAAAUGCCGUUAUGUUAUGAGUGAUAAAUUGGGUGGUACCGCGACAGUCUUCGCCCCGUAU
rnacentral:ncRNA from 1 species